CUGUAGAUUGAUUCAUUUGAGGUGACUGAGUGGCGGACGGGUGAGUAACGCGUGGGUAACCUGCCUCAUAGAGGGGGACAACAGUUGGAAACGACUGCUAAUACCGCAUAGUAAGAAGAAUUCGCAUGUUUUCUUCUUGAAAGAUUUAUCGCUAUGAGAUGGACCCGCGUCUGAUUAGUUAGUUGGUAAGGUAACGGCUUACCAAGGCGACGAUCAGUAGCCGGCUUGAGAGAGUGAACGGCCACAUUGGGACUGAGACACGGCCCAAACUCC
rnacentral:rRNA from 1 species